rnacentral:rRNA from 1 species
AUGCUUGUCCCAAAGCUUAAGCCAUGCAUGCCUUAGACGACGGUAGCUUGAUCCGAAUCUGCGAAGGGCUCCAUAUAUCUGUUGAAACCUGCAAUGCACGACCGCCCUUAUUGGGCACAGAGGAUAACCGAGGUAAUUCUUCGGCUAAUACAUUUAUGCGGGCGUUCCUGGGUAUGGGGUAACCCUGACUGGGGGCGCCGGGCCGCCGGCACAUACCAACGGCCCGAAAGGGCUUGCGAGAAAGCGCGGUGGGACCCUUACAUCGGGUGGUAAGUCCAGGUCGUAGCAAUUAUGGUCAUCAGACCUAUCAACUAGAAUGCGGGGGCACGUCCCCCCUUGGUUUCAACGGGUACAGAGGAUUAGGGUUCGGUCCUGGAGAGGUAGCCUAAGAGAUCGCUACCACUUCUAAGGAAGGCAGCAGGCGCGCAACGUUCCCCAUGGGGACACCCUGAGGACGUGACGGGACAUAGCAAUAUUGGGCCCUAUAAAGGCUUGAUAAUGAAAUGGGGGAGUUAAACCA